rnacentral:rRNA from 1 species
CCUACGGGUGGCAGCAGUGGGGAAUAUUGGGCAAUGGAGGAAACUCUGACCCAGCAACGCCGCGUGAAGGAUGAAGGUUUUCGGAUUGUAAACUUCUGUUGCGAGGGAUGAAAACUGACGGUACCUCGUGAGGAAGCCCCGGCAAACUACGUGCCAGCAGCCGCGGUAAUACGUAGGGGGCAAGCGUUGUCCGGAAGGACUGGGCGUAAAGGGAGUGUAGGCGGCCUUUUAAGUUAUAUGUGAAAGCCCCCGGCUUAACCGAGGAACUGCAUAUAAAACUGGAGGGCUGGAGUGCAGGAGGGGUAAGCGGAAGUUCUAGUGUAGCGGUGAAAUGCGUAGAUAUUAGGAGGAACACCAGUUGCGAAGGCGGCUUACUGGACUGUAACUGACGUUGAGGCUCGAAAGUGUGGGGAGCAAACAGGAUUAGAUACCCUGGUAGUC